rnacentral:tRNA from 1 species
GAGGGUAUAGCUCAAGUGGUAGAGCGCAUGCUUAGCAUGCAUGAGGUCCUGGGUUCGAUCCCCAGGACCUCCA